UCAAAUUGUGGCCUCCGUUCGAAGAGACGCCGUGCCUUGUUUGUCAUAAACACACAAAUUUUGAACAUAUUGUUUCUAGCCUGCUGUGGCUGCUAAAAUGUUAGCACUGUAGCUCACGUAGCCAUGUUACUUCCUGUCACGUCGUAUGAGGAUUACUACUUCCUGUUUGGGUGUUUGGUUAUUACAGUUGUGACAUAAUGAUGAUCAUGAAGGUAUUGUCUUUCAUCCUCUGUUUUUCUCUCCCAGCUUCACCCGCCAAUCAAGAGUCGACCUUUACAUCAGGAGGAAUGCUUCAUUUCGGACCUUCAUCACGUCCCAUCCUCGGAAGAAUGGAUGCUUUCAACCAACCGGAGUCCUUGACGGUGCUGAUGAGGAUGUCCAGCGUGCCGUCGGUGUGUACGGUCGCCCGGGAGGAGUUGGACAUGAGGCGUCCGUCGGGGGCGAUCCAGUGGAUAAUGGGGUCCGGGUCGCCGCGGGCUUUACAGCGCAGCGUGACGCUUUGACCCUCCAAAGCUCGCAGCUCCUGAGGAUGAGUGGCAGAUGUCAUCCAGGAGCUGUUGAUAGGUGAACUGGUCCGACUUGACGCCCGUGCGGCUCUUCAUCUCCAGGAAGAGGCCCAUGUUAUCUCGCGGCGGGUCGGCGAUGCUGCGACUCCACACGGCCUCUGUGAUGCCCAGCAGCUGGCGUACACGAGCGGAGAUGGCCUGCAGAGGUACACAGCAGGGGGGGGGGUGGAGAGGAAGUCCUGUGAGCUCAUACUCUAUCUUCACUUUUGUUCCGUUGCACCGCCGAGAGUUGAGUCAA